rnacentral:lncRNA from 1 species
ACUACAGAACCUUUCUUUCUAUUCUAAUAUAUAAUAAAUUAAUCUAACUUAUGUAAAAGAUUUGAAAUACAUGCGGAAUGUGUCCAUUGGACACAGAUGAUGCUCCCGCUUGCAUAUCAUAAAAGUUAUAAACGGACAUAACUGAAGAACAGUAAAAGUGACACUUACCAAUUGUGUACUAACUUUUAUGGUGAUAAGUAUUGUGUAAAAGUUUCAUAACAUU